rnacentral:sRNA from 12 species
GCCGUAAUUAAAAAUAACAGAUACCCUAGUGAAGAAGGGCUGUCACCCUGCUAGGACAUUCUUAGAGUAGUCUGUAUUAAGAAGGAUACCUUUUAAUAUAGGACUUAAGUGACAUUAUAAUUGAUAAGUCCACUACUUAUUAAGAAGAUGGAGCUUGAAGGUUACGGAAAGUACCAAUAGUUAGGAAUGGUGUAUCUAUACAGUUUAAUAUAAUGCCGCAACAGUGUGGGGAGAGCAAUAGACGCUUGAGAAGAGAAGAACCUUAAGUCUUAGUCCUGUGGUGGGAUUGAGCAGCUUAAGGAAUACCAACCAAUCUCCUUCGCUAUGAUGUUGUAGAAAUACAACUAUAACACACAACAGCGGACAAGUAGCCCAUAGGCGUUGAAGAGAAAAUAACUUUUGUUUGCGGACAAAAAAAAUGAUAGGUUAUUCUGAAUGAUGGGUGAAAGUUACAGGUAGAAAGUCCUGUCAUAGCAUUGGGGAGAAAUCCUGUGGUAAGAAGUUUAGAGGUCGCUCCUUUAAGCUCAGACUUAUCAUCUAUGUAGCAUAAUAAUAGCGGACUGUAUAGGAUAAGGCGAAAGCCUAUCUGUUUUUAUAAUUAUAU